rnacentral:rRNA from 1 species
AGUAACACGUGGGUAACCUGCCUUAUGGAGGGGGAUAACAGAGAGAAAUCACUGCUAAUACCGCAUAAGCACACAGUACCGCAUGGUACAGGGUGAAAAGAUUUAUCACCAUAAGAUGGACCCGCGUCUGAUUAGCCAGUUGGCAGGGUAAAAGCCUACCAAAGCGACGAUCAGUAGCCGAUCUGAGAGGAUGACCGGCCACAUUGGGACUGAGACACGGCCCAA